rnacentral:rRNA from 2 species
GACGAACGCUGGCGGUGUGCUUAACACAUGCAAGUCGAACGGUAAGGCCCUUUCGGGGGUACACGAGUGGCGAACGGGUGAGUAACACGUGAGUAACCUGCCCUCAUCUCUGGGAUAACAGUCGGAAACGGUUGCUAAUACUGGAUAUGAGCUUGCAAGGCAUCUUGUGGGUUGGAAAGAUUUUUUGGUUGGGGAUGGACUCGCGGCCUAUCAGCUUGUUGGUGAGGUAGUGGCUCACCAAGGCUUCGACGGGUAGCCGGCCUGAGAGGGCGACCGGCCACAUUGGGACUGAGAUACGGCCCAGACUCCUACGGGAGGCAGCAGUGGGGAAUAUUGCACAGUGGACGGAGGUCUGAUGCAGCAACGCCGCGUGCGGGAUGACGGCCUUCGGGUUGUAAACCGCUUUCAAUUGUGACGAAGCUUUUGGACGGUA